UACGGAGGGUGCAAGCGUUGUUCGGAAUUACUGGGCGUAAAGCGUGUCUAGGUGGAUCUGUAAGUCAGGUGUUAAAGCUCCCGGCUCAACCGGGAAAUGUCGCUUGAUACUGCAGGUCUUGAGUUUCGGGGAGGUGAGUGGAAUUCCCAGUGUAGAGGUGAAAUUCGUAGAGAUUGGGAGGAACACCGGAGGCGAAAGCGACUCACUAACCGAACACUGACACUCAAGCACGAAAGCGUGGGUAGCAAAC
rnacentral:rRNA from 1 species